CUUAUCUAGUUCAUUUCCUUUUAAAAUGUUCUGCUUGUGCGCAGACAGUCAGCAGUCGCAGACUGCGUUAUUUUCUUUCUAAAGGAAGCGACUGAACUCAAGUGAUUGGCACUUCUCCCUUUCGGUCUGUUGCCCAAAUUCAAACUUAUCGAAUUUAUGUUUGACUGUGUAUUGAAUUUUAAUGCUGGCUGGCAUUUGGAAUUGUGCGAGCAUCCUUUUGCCCUAUUACGCCCACGCAGUGCCCCUCGGCUAUCAGCUCGAGCUGCUUGAGGGAAUUCGCCUGAAAAACUACUUAAAAUAAACUCAUCCUCAUGGCGGGCGCUCCGAUUGGAUGCUGCGAAGAGAAAAACUAUAUCAACUAUAUAGAAAUAAAAUGAAAUGGAGGAAAACUUGUUGCCAGCCAAAUGCGUGGCACUGCAACCGCAAUCAAAUCACGCUGCCAGAGCUGAUGGCUGGGAUUUUCUGCUGAAUGCUUGAAGGCAGGAUUGAUGUUGUUGUUACUGAUCUUGCUGUUGUUGUUGUUGUCCUGUUGCAAUCAUUGCAAAGUUUUGCCUUGGUGACAUUUACAUGAAAGAGGAAGCAUCAAAUGCAGCCACGCCUCUUCUCUAACAGGCAGCGCAUUGCCAUUAAUGCAAGAAUUUAUGGAUGGCAACUAACAACAGCAACAACAGCAGCAACAGCAGCAGCAGCAACAACUACAAUUCACAAUGUUAACGCCACUGUGCGUUGUUAGCAGUUUCAAGUGUCUGGGAAACGGUGCAAGAGGAGAACGGAAGCAGCAGCAGCAGCAGCAACAAUGCAACAAGGCAGCAACUGUGCUGAUAACCAUAACACUGAGUGAUAUACGUAUGCACCCAGUAGAACUUUAAGCCAUGAAUAACAUA